GCCUGGAUAGCUCAGUUGGGAGAGCAUCAGACUUUUAAUCUGAGGGUCCAGGGUUCAAGCCCCUGUUCAGGCA
rfam:Nestor notabilis contig13092, whole genome shotgun sequence.